rfam:Halopiger xanaduensis SH-6, complete genome.
GUGGGAAGCGCACGGCCGCAAAUCUGACUGCGUCACCGACUGCUAUUCGAGGUGACUUGGGAUUGCGGAAGUGC